UGGGCCUCUGGAUCUUCUGCUGCUUGGGUUUUUUCUCUAUCGGAGGGUUCGUCUCUGAGUUCUUGCUCUUGGAUUCAAGCACCACGAGUUUCUCGCUUGUUUGAGUUUUGGUCUGCUUUAUGAUGAUGGGUUUGGAUGUUUUGUCAUUGGGUGUGCUUGGUUUGAGUAGAUCUGAGGAUUUCUUGGUGGUACCAGAACUGGACUUGGUUGAAUUUGAGGCCUUUGAGGUGGAAUUGAGCUUCUUGAGCUGUUUCGUGGCAGAGAUAGUGGGUGUCGUUUUCGUGGAGUUUGAGGAUUUUGCCGUGGAAUUGAGCUUCUUUAUCUGGGCUUUGUUGAGGAUAGUGGGUGUCGUUUUGGUCGAGUAAGUGGAGGGUUUGACGAGUUUGGUUUGGUUCUUGCUGGAAGAGGUCCCAUCGAGCUUCUUCUUUGGUUGAUCUUCUUUCUGUACCUCUUUGACGAGUUUGGUCUGGUUCUUGGUGGACAAGCUAGUGCUGGGUGUCUUCUUGGGCUGCUCUUCUUUCUCAAUCUCAAACACUCUCCUCCUCCCAAGAAACUGUGUUCUCCGAGGUUGGGCCUCGGAGCAGGCACAAACAAGAGUAGAAGCAAAGAGAAAUAAAACAAGAUAGAGCACAAGUACCUGUCUGAAACUGAAGUACCGAAGUGGAGCCAUG
rnacentral:lncRNA from 1 species